rnacentral:rRNA from 1 species
GACGAACGCUGGCGGCGUGCCUAAUACAUGCAAGUCGAGCGAAUGGAAGGGAGCUUGCUCCCUGAAGUUAGCGGCGGACGGGUGAGUAACACGUGGGCAACCUGCCUGUAAGACUGGGAUAACUUCGGGAAACCGGAGCUAAUACCGGAUACGUUCUUUCCUCGCAUGAGGAAAGAUGGAAAGAUGGUUUCGGCUAUCACUUACAGAUGGGACCGUGGCGCAUUAGCUAGUUGGUGGGGUAAUGGCCUACCAAGGCGACGAUGCGUAGCCGACCGGAGAGGGUGAUCGGCCACACUGGGACUGAGACACGGCCCAGACUCCUACGGGAGGCAGCAGUAGGGAAUCUUCCGCAAUGGACGAAAGUCUGACGGAGCAACGCCGCGUGAGCGAAGAAGGCCUUCGGGUCGUAAAGCUCUGUUGUCAGGGAGGAACAAGUGCCAGAGUAACUGCUGGCACCUUGACGGUACCUGACCAGAAAGCCACGGCUAACUACGUGCCAGCCGCCGCAGUAAAAC